UACGGGUGGCAGCAGUAGGGAAUAUCGCUCAAUGGGGGAAACCCUGAAGCAGCAACGCCGCGUGGAGGAUGAAGGUUUUAGGAUUGUAAACUCCUUUUGUGAGAGAAGAUAAUGACGGUAUCUCACGAAUAAGCACCGGCUAACUCCGUGCCAGCAGCCGCGGUAAUACGGAGGGUGCAAGCGUUACUCGGAAUCACUGGGCGUAAAGAGUGCGCAGGCGGGCUUGUAAGUCAGAUGUGAAAUCCUGUAGCUUAACUACAGAACUGCAUUUGAAACUAUGAGUCUAGAGUGUGGGAGAGGUAGGUGGAAUUCUUGGUGUAGGGGUAAAAUCCGUAGAUAUCAAGAGGAAUACUCAUUGCGAAGGCGGCCUGCUGGACUGAAACUGACGUUGAGGCUCGAAAGCGUGGGGAGCAAACAGGAUUAGAUACCCCUGUAGUC
rnacentral:rRNA from 1 species